GGAAUAGUAGCAAAGUUGGUCAACGCGUCGGAUUGAAGAUCCGAAGAUACAGGUUCAAUUCCUGUCUGUUCCACUA
rnacentral:tRNA from 1 species